AUUUCUUUUCAUUAAGUUUUAACAUUGUUGUAACUAUGACUCUCUUAAGGUAGCCAAAUGCCUCGUCAUCUAAUUAGUGAUGCGCAUGAAUGGAU
rnacentral:ncRNA from 1 species